rnacentral:rRNA from 1 species
GNNNACGCUAGCGAUAGGCUUAACACAUGCAAGUCGAGGGGCAGCAUGGUCUUAGCUUGCUAAGACUGAUGGCGACCGGCGCACGGGUGCGUAACGCGUAUGCAACUUGCCUCACAGAGGGGGAUAACCCGUCGAAAGACGGACUAAUACCGCGUACACUCCAUCUUGGGCAUCCAAGGUAGAGGAAAUGAAAUUCGCUGUGAGAUAGGCAUGCGUCCCAUUAGCUAGUUGGUGAGGUAACGGCUCACCAAGGCGACGAUGGGUAGGGGAACUGAGAGGUUGAACCCCCACACUGGUACUGAGACACGGACCAGACUCCUACGGGAGGCAGCAGUGGGGAAUAUUGGUCAAUGGGCGAGAGCCUGAACCAGCCAAGUCGCGUGAAGGAUGACUGUCUUAUGGAUUGUAAACUUCUUUUAUACGGGAAUAACAAGAGCCACGUGUGGCUCCCUGCAUGUACCGUAUGAAUAAGCAUCGGCUAACUCCGUGCCAGCAGCCGCGGUAAUACGGAGGAUGCGAGCGUUAUCCGGAUUUAUUGGGUUUAAAGGGUGCGUAGGCGGCCUGUUAAGUCAGCGGUGAAAUCUAGGAGCUUAACUCCUAAAUUGCCAUUGAUACUGGCGGGCUUGAGUGUAGAUGAGGUAGGCGGAAUGCGUGGUGUAGCGGUGGAAUGCAUAGAUAUCACGCAGAACUCCGAUUGCGAAGGCAGCUUACUAAGGUACAACUGACGCUGAAGCACGAAAGCGUGGGUAUCAAACAGG